UGCCCCGUGGUGUAAUUGGUAACACGUCUCCCUCUGGAGGAGAAGUCUCUAGGUUCGAGCCCUAGCGGGGCAG
rnacentral:tRNA from 1 species